UACGUAGGGUCCGAGCGUUGUCCGGAAUUAUUGGGCGUAAAGAGCUCGUAGGCGGUUUGUCGCGUCUGCUGUGAAAUCCCGAGGCUCAACCUCGGGCCUGCAGUGGGUACGGGCAGACUGGAGUGCGGCAGGGGAGAAUGGAAUUCCUGGUGUAGCGGUGGAAUGCGCAGAUAUCAGGAGGAACACCGAUGGCGAAGGCAGUUCUCUGGGCCGUAACUGACGCUGAGGAGCGAAAGCGUGGGGAGCGAACAGG
rnacentral:rRNA from 1 species